UAAAACGUCCAAUCCCCCUCCAGAAAGGCAAAGAGGAUGGACAUCAGAAGAAGAAGAAAACAGGAAACAACCUAGGAACCUACCACAGAGGGCCUCUGAAAGCCUCUGCCCUUCAGACUAUCAAAGCAGAUGCUGAGCCGGAUGGGCAACUGUUGGGCAGGUGAACGGAAGUUUAGGAUUUCUACAUUUCUACAAAAUGUCAGCUAGAAGAAAUCUAGAACGACAUCCAAUUUUCCUUAAAGGCAGUUGGCACCCUGCCUACCUCAAAGAAGAUAAUGAGCAUCGACGAACCUCCAUAUGGAGAUGGCUUAGAAUGUGGCAAACAAGCCACUCAGGUAAAGAAAGAAAAUACCCUUGCUUCACAACAGACAAAUUCUGCCUAAAGUGGGCAAGCUUAAAUGAAGGACAAGUUGACUGCCGAACUCUGCCAA